rnacentral:rRNA from 1 species
UGCCAGCCGCCGCGGUAAUACGGAGGGUGCAAGCGUUAAUCGGAAUUACUGGGCGUAAAGCGCGCGUAGGCGGUUGUCUAAGCUAGAUGUGAAAGCCCAGGGCUCAACCUUGGAACUGCAUUUAAUACUGCCAGACUUGAGAUCGGAAGAGGAAAGCGGAAUUUCUAGUGUAGAGGUGAAAUUCGUAGAUAUUAGAAGGAACAUCAGAGGCGAAGGCGGCUUUCUGGUCCGAUACUGACGCUGAGGUACGAAAGCGUGGGGAGCAAACAGGAUUAGAUA